AUUAAUCUGCAAUUAACAAAAAUGUGAUUUAAUAAUAUUACGUCCUUUCUCAUCCUAAGUUUGCGGGUGACUGGGAAAAUGACAGUCAAGAGUUUAUCAAUCCUGAAUUUUGUUUACAAGCGUAAAAAUUAAAGUUAGAGACCCUUUAUUUAGUGUGAUACUUGGGCUCUUGAAGUUUGCCUAGUUAAUAACGUCACGGCUGGUUGUAGUACUCAGUGUCCAUAAGUAUGUUCUGAUUUUAUUUCAUAGAGGAUGCAUUUCAAGGCAAUAAUCAGGAAUUCAUGAUGGAAAAUAAGAACUUUUUUCCAAUCAACAAUCAACAUAUUAUUUACCAAAGAUGAAGGAGUCGUUGAACCCCCUAUUAUCAAAAAUAUAUAAAUUGUGUUUUCAUUUUUAAUCGAUUAUAUUAAAUAUUUUAUAAUCUUACUUAUAAUGAUAAAUUAUUUUGUACAUUUUAUUUCAAUCCCCUCCCAUUGUGAAAUCCAGCGCGCGACCCUAGCUGAAGUUAUAGGUGCCCAUAUAAUAUCAAGAAAAUAUUAUAUUUACUUAGGAAUUUAUUAUUAUCCUAAAUUUUUCUAUAGGUAUAAUAUUUAUAAAAUUGAAUUGUGUCCAAGUUGAAAUGCUUGAAUGCUUAUA